rfam:Schistosoma rodhaini strain Burundi genome assembly, scaffold: SROB_scaffold0000400
AUCUAGCUGACGCGUCUCAAAUAGGAAGAAACGCACGUCCUGGAU